GUUGACCUCGGAUCAGGUAGGGAUACCCGCUGAACUUAAGCAUAUCAAUAAGCGGAGGAAAAGAAACCAACAGGGAUUGCCCUAGUAACGGCGAGUGAAGCGGCAACAGCU
rnacentral:rRNA from 1 species